rnacentral:rRNA from 1 species
AACGAACGCUGGCGGCAUGCCUAACACAUGCAAGUCGAACGAGGCCCUUCGGGGUUUAGUGGCGCACGGGUGCGUAACGCGUGGGAAUCUGCCCUUUGGUUCGGAAUAACAGCUGGAAACGGCUGCUAAUACCGGAUGAUGACGAAAGUCCAAAGAUUUAUCGCCAGAGGAUGAGCCCGCGUUGGAUUAGGUAGUUGGUGGGGUAAAGGCCUACCAGGCCGACGAUCCAUAGCUGGUCUGAGAGGAUGAUCAGCCACACUGGGACUGAGACACGGCCCAGACUCCUACGGGAGGCAGCAGUGGGGAAUAUUGGACAAUGGGCGCAAGCCUGAUCCAGCAAUGCCGCGUGAGUGAUGAAGGCCCUAGGGUUGUAAAGCUCUUUUACCCGGGAAGAUAAUGACUGUACCGGGAGAAUAAGCCCCGGCUAACUCCGUG